AGUGAACGCUGGCGGUAGGCCUAACACAUGCAAGUCGAACGGCAGCACAGUAAGAGCUUGCUCUUACGGGUGGCGAGUGGCGGACGGGUGAGGAAUACAUCGGAAUCUACUUUUUCGUGGGGGAUAACGUAGGGAAACUUACGCUAAUACCGCAUACGACCUACGGGUGAAAGCAGGGGAUCUUCGGACCUUGCGCGAUUGAAUGAGCCGAUGUCGGAUUAGCUAGUUGGCGGGGUAAAGGCCCACCAAGGCGACGAUCCGUAGCUGGUCUGAGAGGAUGAGGAGCCAGACUGGAAAUGAGAGACGGUCCAGACGCAUACGGGAGGCAGCAGUGGGGAAUAUUGGACAAUGGGCGCAAGCUUGAUCCAGCCAUACCGCGGAGGUGAAGAAGGCCUUCGGGUUGUAAAGCCCUUUUGUUGGGAAAGAAAAGCAGCAGGUGAAUACCCCGCUGGUCUGACGGGACCCAAAGAAUAAGCACCGGCUAACUUCGUG
rnacentral:rRNA from 1 species